rnacentral:rRNA from 1 species
GAUGAACGCUGGCGGCGUGCCUAAUACAUGCAAGUCGAGCGCAGGAAGUUGGUACUUGUACCUACUGGAUGAGCGGCGAACGGGUGAGUAACGCGUGGGGAAUCUGCCUUUGAGCGUGGGACAACUUUUGGAAACGAAUGCUAAUACCGCAUAAAAACUUUAAACACAAGUUUUAAGUUUGAAAGAUGCAAUUGCAUCACUCAAUGAUGAUCCCGCGUUGUCUUAGCUAGUUGGGAGGGUAAAGGCCCACCAAGGCAAUGAUGCAUAACCGACCUGAGAGGGUGAUCGGCCACAUUGGAACGGGAAAACGCUCCAAACUCCUCCGGGAGCAAGAAGUGGGGAACCUUCGGAAAGGGGCGAAAGCCUGACGGGGAAACGCGGCGUGGGGGAUGAAGGUCUUCGGUCGGUAAAACCCUUUUAUUGGGAAGGAAGUUAGGGGUAAUUAAAUGCGCAUAUAGUGACGGUAACUACCCAGAAAGCCACGGCUAACUACGUG